rnacentral:rRNA from 1 species
UACGUAGGUGGCAAGCGUUUGUCCGGAUUUAUUGGGUUUAAAGGGUGCGUAGGCGGCUUAUUAAGUCAGUGGUGAAAUACUCUAGCUCAACUAGAGGGGUGCCAUUGAUACUGAUGAGCUUGAGUACAGAUGAGGUAGGCGGAAUUGACGGUGUAGCGGUGAAAUGCUUAGAUAUCGUCAAGAACACCUAUAGCGAAGGCAGCUUACUAGGCUGUAACUGACGCUGAGGCACGAAAGUGUGGGAUCAAACAGG